UACGGAGGGUGCGAGCGUUAUCCGGAUUUACUGGGUUUAAAGGGUGUGUAGGCGGACUUUUAAGUCCGUGGUGAAAUCUCCGGGCUCAACCCGGAAACUGCCAUGGAUACUAUUUGUCUUGAAUGUUGUUGAGGUGGGCGGAACGGGUCAUGUAGCGGUGAAAUGCAUAGAUAUGACCCGGAACACCGAUUGCGAAGGCAGCCCACUAAGCAAUGAUUGACGCUGAGGCACGAAAGCGUGGGGAUCAAACAGG
rnacentral:rRNA from 1 species